ACCAAGGAAGUCUAAAUACCCUAGAAACAUUAGAUCCCAUUUGAGCUUAGAUGCUAAGCAGGGCCAACCCCUGGUUAGUAAUUGGAUGGGAGUUCACCAACAAAUACCAGGUGUUGUAGGCU
rnacentral:rRNA from 1 species